rnacentral:lncRNA from 1 species
AACAAUAGUAAAAGCUAACACUUUUUUUGCAUUAUUUUUUUGAGAAAAAAAGCAGCACGCUACCUACUUCAUUUAUUCAGAUAAUAAAUUUAAUUAUAUAGAGUGAGACAGUAAGGGCCUCAAGAGAAAGAAAAAAAUCAAAAGAAAAUAUCUAAAAAGGAAGGUAAAAUAAAGGUAAAAUAAGAGUAAUAAAAAGGUUAAAAAUAAUUACAGCGUCAAAUCGGAAACUAAAAAAGAUGGAGAUAUCACCGAGCUCGACAGCACUUCGUUCAUUCUGUUGUCAGUUUUCUAAUGCGUUGGGCCAUAAACGUAGCGUCUGUAAACAGAUUUGUAAAAAUAACAUUAUUUCUUUCACGCCAGAUAGUCCAUCAUGUUGCCGCCACCAGUGUCUGUAUCUUUAGGACAUCACCCCCUCUCUGCAAUCUCUCCCAGACUAUAAUGACGUCCUCAUUCAAGGGAAAAGGAAGAAACUCUUCAAAAUUCGAGAUAAAUAAAAAUUUACUAACAAGACAUCCCACCAAAAAGUGAUUUACAAUUUCCAAAACAAUACCGCAUAAUACACACC